CGACCUCCACCAGAGCCCACUGCGCUCUGCGCGCCUCAGCACUGGGGCUGGGGACAGCAGCGCCUGCCCAGCCGCGUCGCCACCCUCAGCCAGGUGCCGCGGUGGCCAGACGGCUGCACACGGCCAAGGUCGGAGCGCCUGGCGCCUCGAGGCCAUGCUAGGGGGGUCGAGCACCGCCGUGGAGUGGGCUCCCUGGAAGGCAGUAAGCUUCCCGUACCUUGAGGUGGCCAAAAAGAGUUGGAUGCCCUCAGGUGGGCUCUGGAAAGAUCUGAAGAGGUGGGAGGUUGAACUAAAUGACGUUCAAGGCCUGCCUCUUCCAGCUGCAAGGUUCUCCGCAGACCUGCACUAGACCUGGCUCCCUCAGGACUGGGGUGCGCUCAGAGCUCCGGGGCUGUAGUGCUCACUUCUCCGGCUACCAUCACCGGAGCUUGGCGCUGGGUCCCCUGCCUCCUCGUCAGGCUCCUCCCCCCUGCCACUGGACGGCACCAUCCAUCCAGCUCUUCAGUGCCCCAGUGAGUUGCAUCUCCCACACCCACGUCACACUCAUUUGCAGACCCUCAAUACUGAAGCAGGUCCCCAUACAACACACUCCAGCUAGCACACGUCACGCCCUUGAGGGUCAUAGGGACAGUUGCCUAAUUCGUCGAAGCACUCUUUCAUAUUGCAGGGCAUCUUUACCCUUCAGUCUUCCCCAACCCGGAAGCAAGUGUCCUGACCUUUCCUAAUGUCACCCAGCUCAUGGCCGUUCUUCCCCCGAACCCCACUAUUUGUGUUCACUUCUGCCACCCAUAGUCUAUCACCUGGCCAGUUCUUAAGACUCGUCAUGCCCUGUGAGGACAAGGACACUGUAUGCCUUCAGUACAGCUCAGCACCUGUACAUGCUACCUCCUCAUAACUGUUGGUUGAAUGACUGUGUGAAUUGUAGGCUUCCUGUGUCAAAAUCUAUAGUCUCCAAAUGAUGCUCCCAGCUUGACUAAGGACAAGACCAUUUUAGAGAAAGGCCCCAACUUCAAGAGUUGUAUGGCACUACCUCUAAAGAGCAGCCGCCUGCCACUGAACACACUUUCAUCUUGUAAAGUAACUUGUACUGUCCCUACUUUCCUGUGAAGAAACCCAUGCUUGGGCUGGGGGUGAAACUUGGUGGGAGAGCAUUUGCCUGGUAAUCUCCAAGUCUUGGCUUCAGUCUUCAACACCACAAACAAAAAGCCUACCAUGAGGCUGGAGAGAUGGCUCAGCUGUCCAAAGCUCUGGCUGCUAUGCCAGAGGACCUGGGUUCAAUUCUCAGCACCCACAUGCCAGUCCACAACUGUUUAUUAACUUCAGAUCCAGGGGAUAUGGCUGGGCUUAUCACAUGGUACACAGACACAGGUGCAAGAAAAACAUGCUUAUGCGCAUAAUUAUUUAAAGCCGUCAAGGCUUAACCCUGAGUUGGGAAGUGGCAGAGCAAGAGUUAAGUCCAGGUUCAUUUGACUCAGAUCAGCAUAUUACAGUGAGAAGAAGCCAAAACUGACCAAGAGAGCCAAAUGUAAGCCUGUAUUCAGUACUGAUGGUGCUGUCAUUGGAGCCUUGAAGGUGUACAUCUAAAAGGAGAGAAAGCAAGCCACACAUCUGUAAUCCCAGUUCUCAGGAGGCAGAGGCAGAAGGACAGCUGACAAAGCCAGCCUGGUCUACAUGGUGAGGUUUAGGGUACCUGGAGCUACACAGGCAGACCUUGUCUCCAACAAACAGGGUAAGAAGCAGGGGCGUCUAUGUUUGUGCAACAAUGUUUCUAACUAUUUGCAGUAGCUGCAGAAUGGGAACAACCUGAAUGUCCACCCACCAAUGGAUAGAUGGAUAAGCAUGAUGUAGUAUCAUAUAUGCAGUGGCAUAGUAUGGAGGCUUGAAAGGGAAGUUCUGAUACGGACUGCAACAGGGGUGAACCUUGAGGGCAUCACACCAAGUACACUAAGCCAGUCACAGACACUAAUGUCGAAUGGUUCUAUUUACCUGAGGUGCCUAGAGUAGUCAAAUCUGUGAACACAAAAUAGAAUCUUAGCUACCUGGGUCUGGAUGGGGGGCACGACAAAGUGGUUAACUGCUAGAGCAUCAUCCAGAAAUGAAAGCUUUCUAGAGAUGGGUUGAUGGGGUAUGCACUAAUACAGUUUAAAACAGUGACAUUUGAGUCAGGCAGUGGUGGCACAUGCCUUUAAUCCCAGCACUUGGGAGGCAGAGGCAGGCAGAUUUCUGAGUUCGAGGCCAGCCUGGUCUAGAGUGAGUUCCAGGACUGCCAGGGCUACACAGAGAAACCCUGUCUCAAAACAAAACAAAACAAAACAAAACAAAAAAACUAAACCAAACUGACAUUUGUGUUACUUGUAUUCUACUUCGAUAAAACAGUGUAAAGUCACUAUAAGUGUCAUGGAUCCUUUGUGGGUUUGCCGUGCCCAUGAAUAACCAGAGCCUCUGACCUAAAGAAAGCCACCAUCUAAGGGGAAGCACCAGAGGAUGUCCUCUUGAAGGAUAAAACCAGACAUACAGCUCCAUUCAACUACAAAAUCUAGAGACCAAAAGUAACAGAGGACCUCAAAGACCAGAUAUCUUAGGCUGAAGAUGUAAUGUAAUGCUUACCUCGUGUGCACCAGAGCCGCAGAAACUGGUGCGACACACAUCUAUAAUUCUAACACAUAAUAGGGAGAAGCAGGAGGAACAUACGUUCAUACGUUCAAAGUCAUCACAAGGAGACCAGCCUGAGCUAACUGAAACCUUGUCUGUCUGUCUGUCUGUCUGUCUGUCUGAAAUUACUAGCUGCAGAAGGGGCUUUUUGGAUCCUCUCCCUGGCAACAUGAUCCCUGACAUUGUCUACACAGGGACCUUAGCUGAAAACAGCCCUCAUCUGAUCUGAGAGGGCCACAGUAGGGCUAUCCCAGAGUACCCGCACUGCCAACCCUGGGUCUGUCAUCAGCUCAUCAAAUGCCCCAUGCCUCCCCACUCACCCCCCUGACCUCCACACCGCACUCACUACCCUCCCUGCUUGGUGAAGUCACCCCACCCCAACCCCAGCGACUCGCUAUUCCCGUUGUCCUCAAGUCACACCAGCCAAGAGAAGGGCAUCGUCAACCACUAUGGAUGUUGGCUCCUCAUCUGCACCAAAUGGUCAUGCUUCCACCUGCCUUCCAGGGAAGGUCCCCAUGCUGUUCCGAGAGAUAACAUCCCAACCAAAUUAAACAUAGGACCCAGGAAGCUCAAGGAUGGGGACUUGGGGUCAGGGCCAUCCUGUAGCUGAGGCAAGGAUCCUGCCUGUACCUCCUCAGUCCUGGGAUUACAAGCAUAUACCGCCAGAUCCUCCUGUAAGCAAACUCCACCCAGCCUUCAAAGGUAAACCUGUCUUGGGUUUGGAUUCCCCUGCCUCUGAAUCCCAGUAGAACUUCUGAAAGCUCCUGAAGUCUCCGGGGAACAGACCUUCUGGUCUUUUAGUCACUAACCCAGAGCCUCAAAGUCUGAGGCACACUUUUGUUUUCUUUCUAUUGUCAUCUGAAUAGAAUCAUUCCAACCCAAUGGCUC